CUGCCACAUUGGGCUCAAACAUAGCAACAAUUACGAGGAUGGCGCAGGACCAGUGAUCAGCACAGCCACUUGGAGCAGGAAGUAAUCAGCAACAUUGGACGUGCUCAGCAAAUCCUCAGAAAUGCUUGUGAAGGUCUGGACUUUCUCUGGUUAUAUAAGGUGGAGAAGCCUCUCUAUCUGCGGCUGAAAGGUGGACUUCAGAAGCGGCUGCGGUUCGCAAACGCUUCGAUUGGAUUGGCUGGUGUCACAUGCCGAGGAUGGAGAGGUGGAGUCAACACCGCUGAACCACAUGAACUCAGAAGUGGGAAGAGGAUGGUUCCCCAGGGAAAGUCUGAGAUUCCCUUCUACUGCUUGUAUUUCCGGCUGUUCUAUGUUAGACUCUGUUCUGCUUACAGGCUCUUUUCCGAACUCUGCUGUUUAAUCUCAGGGACAAGACAGAACAAACCAGAAGAGGAAUAUACCCAGAAUUAGAACUACUUGCUAUGUGCAUGGGGCAGGGGGUGCAGACAGGGAGAGAGAAGAGCUUCAGCAGAUGCUGUGAUUAAGUCCAGCCUGACAGACCUGCAUGGUAUCUAGAGACUAAAGCAGCAGAUGAGCCAGGUCAGCAGUCAUCACUGGAGAUUAACAUGGAGAUUAUGGUUGUCAUAGCAGGUAGCUGGAGUACAGCUAAAGAGUACCCAGAAGUAGGAGAGAUUUAUGUUAUGCAGAAGUCUCAAGACAGAGAAGGGAAAAUCGAUACUAAUUACAACUGCCAUGCACACCAGUCUGACUAUAUAUUGACUCUUGCUAACAAUGCACUUUGAUUCAAAUGUUAUCCAUACCCGGUUCUCAAUUCUCAACAUGUGGAGUGGGAAGGCUGGGGCCGUAAGAAGGACCAGCAGCUUUGGGUGCUUUUAUUUUCUUUUGGAACCUUUCUUAGUAAUGUCUAGCUUCCCUUCAGAACUUCUGUCUUUACAGAAAUUAAGCAAGCUUUUCAUAAGUUUUUAGCCAAGACUUCUGGUUUCAGCUGCAACAUGUAAAGGGCUUGGACGUUGUUACUCCCCUCCUAACAAGAAGAAAAAGCUGGACAAAUGGAAAAUCAACAACUUUUGUUGGACCCCUCAGAGAACUGAGGAUGAAACCACCACCCUGAAGUCUGGAAAGACAGGUGAAUCCAGAGAGUCAUAGAUGAGACCUGCCUAGCUGGAGCAGAAGAUACUGGAGUCGGAAAUGGUAAAAACCAAAAACCAAACCCAUUACCAUCGAGCCGAUUCUGACUCAUAGCAACUCUAUAGGACAGAGUAGAACUGCCCCAUAGGGUUUCCAAGGAGCGGCUGGUGGAUUCGAACUGCUGACCUUUGGGUAAGCAGCUGAGCUCUUAACCACUGCGCCACCAGGGGUAGAAACACUUAAAUUGUAAUUUUGACAAAAAUCUGGAGGCUGAAUAUGGGCUAUCAUGAGAGUGAGAAACCUCUGGAGGCCACGGCCUUAGGGGGGUGCCCCCACAUUCAUGGACUUGACCUCUAGGAGCUCUGCACAAUGAAGAGCUGAAAAAGACCCCGUUGGGGCUCUGGGAGCUGGAGAAGAAGAGUAAUCCUUGUGAAAUAUGCCCAGAGCAUUCUCCAUUACAAAGGCUUAUUCUCCAGGGGCAAAGACUUACCAGAGCCUUAUCCCACCUGAGGAAAAGGCAUUUCUCCCACUCCAGCACCCUCUAGGCUGCUUGACUCUCCUAAAGGGAGGAAAAAGAAAAGAUAAGGAACAUUUGUGAAGGUCACAGCCCAGGGACACAGACCCACUAAAAGAUUGAGAUUUAAUCAUAAUAUUAUAGAAUGCUUCUCCUCCCCCACACCUUACCUAUACCAAUAGGGCUGCAGUAUAAUAGCAGUGGAUUACAGCUGAAAGGGUUGCAAAACACAGACUCUUAUCUGAGGAGGAGUUCUUAGGGAAGCCUAAAAUCAACAGGGGAGAGAAAAACAAAGAUACUAGAGGAAUCUGAAGUCUCUGGUACCUUCAGUUACAGCAAACAUUAAAUUGAGCCCCCAGCUUGUAGCCAGAGCAACAUGAAACCUCACACUUAAUAUCUAUUUACCUCAGUUCUAUUACCUAAUCUAUCAUGUCUGAGUUUCAACAAAUUAAUUACAAAGUAUGCCAAUUAUCAGGCAAGGAAUAGCUUGGCUGCUAACCAAAAUGUCGGCUGUUUGAAUCCACCAAGUGCUCCUUGGAAACCCUAUGGGGCAGUUCUACUCUGUCCUGUAAGGUCGCUGUGAGUCAGAAUCAACUCGAUGGCAAUGGGUUUUUUUGGUUUAUGAUUAACAUGUAAAGGACUCUAAUGGAAAAAUUAGACAACAUGUAAGAACAGAUGGGUAAUAAAAGCAGAGAGACGGAAAUUCUAA